rnacentral:rRNA from 1 species
ACUAAGCGUACACGGUGGAUGCCCUGGCAGUCAGAGGCGAUGAAGGACGUGCUAAUCUGCGAAAAGCGUCGGUAAGGUGAUAUGAACCGUUANCCGGCGAUGUCCGAAUGGGGAAACCCAGUGCAAUUCGUUGCACUAUCGUUAACUGAAUACAUAGGUUAACGAGGCGAACCGGGGGAACUGAAACAUCUAAGUACCCCGAGGAAAAGAAAUCAACCGAGAUUCCCCCAGUAGCGGCGAGCGAACGGGGAGCAGCCCAGAGUCUGAAUCAGCUUGUGUGUUAGUGGAACGGUCUGGAAAGUCCGACGGUACAGGGUGAUAGUCCCGUACACCAAAAUGCACAGGUUGUGAACUCGAAGAGUAGGGCGGGACACGUGGUAUCCUGUCUGAAUAUGGGGGGACCAUCCUCCAAGGCUAAAUACUCCUGACUGACCGAUAGUGAACCAGUACCGUGAGGGAAAGGCGAAAAGAACCCCGGCGAGGGGAGUGAAAAAGAACCUGAAACCGUGUACGUACAAGCAGUGGGAGCACCUUCGGGUGUGACUGCGUACCUUUUGUAUAAUGGGUCAGCGACUUAUAUUCUGUAGCAAGGUUAACCGUAUAGGGGAGCCGCAGGGAAACCGAGUCUUAACUGGGCGUUAAGUUGCAGGGUAUAGACCCGAAACCCGGUGAUCUAGCCAUGGGCAGGUUGAAGGUUGGGUAACACUAACUGGAGGACCGAACCGACUAAUGUUGAAAAAUUAGCGGAUGACUUGUGGCUGGGGGUGAAAGGCCAAUCAAACCGGGAGAUAGCUGGUUCUCCCCGAAAGCUAUUUAGGUAGCGCCUCGUGAACUCAUCUUCGGGGGUAGAGCACUGUUUCGGCUAGGGGGUCAUCCCGACUUACCAACCCGAUGCAAACUACGAAUACCGAAGAAUGUUAUCACGGGAGACACACGGCGGGUGCUAACGUCCGUCGUGAAGAGGGAAACAACCCAGACCGCCAGCUAAGGUCCCAAAGUCAUGGUUAAGUGGGAAACGAUGUGGGAAGGCACAGACAGCCAGGAUGUUGGCUUAGAAGCAGCCAUCAUUUAAAGAAAGCGUAAUAGCUCACUGGUCGAGUCGGCCUGCGCGGAAGAUGUAACGGGGCUAAACCAUGCACCGAAGCUGCGGCAGCGACACUAUGUGUUGUUGGGUAGGGGAGCGUUCUGUAAGCCUGCGAAGGUGUGCUGUGAGGCAUGCUGGAGGUAUCAGAAGUGCGAAUGCUGACAUAAGUAACGAUAAAGCGGGUGAAAAGCCCGCUCGCCGGAAGACCAAGGGUUCCUGUCCAACGUUAAUCGGGGCAGGGUGAGUCGACCCCUAAGGCGAGGCCGAAAGGCGUAGUCGAUGGGAAACAGGUUAAUAUUCCUGUACUUGGUGUUACUGCGAAGGGGGGACGGAGAAGGCUAUGUUAGCCGGGCGACGGUUGUCCCGGUUUAAGCAUGUAGGCUGGUUAUCCAGGCAAAUCCGGAUAAUCAAGGCUGAGGUGUGAUGACGAGGCACUACGGUGCUGAAGUAACAAAUGCCCUGCUUCCAGGAAAAGCCUCUAAGCAUCAGGUAACAUCAAAUCGUACCCCAAACCGACACAGGUGGUCAGGUAGAGAAUACCAAGGCGCUUGAGAGAACUCGGGUGAAGGAACUAGGCAAAAUGGUGCCGUAACUUCGGGAGAAGGCACGCUGGUGUGUAGGUGAAGUCCCUGCGGAUGGAGCUGAGACCAGUCGAAGAUACCAGCUGGCUGCAACUGUUUAUUAAAAACACAGCACUGUGCAAACACGAAAGUGGACGUAUACGGUGUGACGCCUGCCCGGUGCCGGAAGGUUAAUUGAUGGGGUUAUCCGUAAGGAGAAGCUCUUGAUCGAAGCCCCGGUAAACGGCGGCCGUAACUAUAACGGUCCUAAGGUAGCGAAAUUCCUUGUCGGGUAAGUUCCGACCUGCACGAAUGGCGUAAUGAUGGCCAGGCUGUCUCCACCCGAGACUCAGUGAAAUUGAACUCGCUGUGAAGAUGCAGUGUACCCGCGGCAAGACGGAAAGACCCCGUGAACCUUUACUAUAGCUUGACACUGAACAUUGAGCCUUGAUGUGUAGGAUAGGUGGGAGGCUUUGAAGCGUGGACGCCAGUCUGCGUGGAGCCAACCUUGAAAUACCACCCUUUAAUGUUUGAUGUUCUAACGUUGGCCCCUGACCGGGGUUGCGGACAGUGUCUGGUGGGUAGUUUGACUGGGGCGGUCUCCUCCCAAAGCGUAACGGAGGAGCACGAAGGUUAGCUAAUCCUGGUCGGACAUCAGGAGGUUAGUGCAAUGGCAUAAGCUAGCUUGACUGCGAGCGUGACGGCGCGAGCAGGUGCGAAAGCAGGUCAUAGUGAUCCGGUGGUUCUGAAUGGAAGGGCCAUCGCUCAACGGAUAAAAGGUACUCCGGGGAUAACAGGCUGAUACCGCCCAAGAGUUCAUAUCGACGGCGGUGUUUGGCACCUCGAUGUCGGCUCAUCACAUCCUGGGGCUGAAGUAGGUCCCAAGGGUAUGGCUGUUCGCCAUUUAAAGUGGUACGCGAGCUGGGUUUAGAACGUCGUGAGACAGUUCGGUCCCUAUCUGCCGUGGGCGCUGGAGAAUUGAGGGGGGCUGCUCCUAGUACGAGAGGACCGGAGUGGACGCAUCACUGGUGUUCGGGUUGUCAUGCCAAUGGCACUGCCCGGUAGCUAAAUGCGGAAGAGAUAAGUGCUGAAAGCAUCUAAGCACGAAACUUGCCCCGAGAUGAGUUCUCCCUGAGACUUUAAGUCUCCUGAAGGAACGUUGAAGACGACGACGUUGAUAGGCCGGGUGUGUAAGCGCAGCGAUGCGUUGAGCUAACCGGUACUAAUGAACCGUGAGGCUUAACC